GGUAAAAUGGCCGAACUAGGUGCAGGGUUGUAGCCCCUUUUAUAAAGGUUAGAGUCCUUUUUUUAUCA
rnacentral:tRNA from 1 species